GUCUUCGUAGCUCAGUUGGUUAGAGCGUUCGACUGUUACCUGGUCCUGGUCGCUUCGGCUUCCAGACUCCCUCAGUCAUCCAUCGAGAGGUCGGCGGUUCGACCCCGCCCGAGGACG
rfam:Rhodotorula sp. JG-1b unplaced genomic scaffold RHOSPscaffold_64, whole genome shotgun sequence.